GUUUAACUAGGGGGUUUCUUUUACAUGAGGAAAAAAGUGUUGCUUUCUAUCUGAAGUUUGGGAUGCUAUUUUUUCUGUUAAAAUUAUAGCAUGCUAUGUCAAAGAGUGUUGGGUAGACUGAAGAGCCUGUUUUAAGAAAAACUUUAAAAAAAAUCUUCCUAUAAACCAUUUGUCUUCAUAGGUCUGGACAAUUGUUUUUGCUCCAAACCAGCUGGAUACAAGCCACUUCUUGUUCAAAAGCCAUGUGGCAAAAUGACUGGACUAUGAGCUGAAGCUACUCUGUCCUGCCUCUUGGUUCAGUUAAGCACCAGCCAGUGGUAAAGAAAGAAGCGAAGGCAUCAACUGCGAGGCAAGAGUGGUGCAGAAGAGGUGCAGAGGAGCAAAGAGAAAGGCACACUGGGCAAAUGGCUGUCCCGGUCGUCAGGUCUGCGGACAUGUAAGAAAAGCAUGGCCGGCACCUUUGGUGUCCUCGCCAGCUUUGCAAAUUGGAGAGAAGGAGCUUCCGUUUGCCUUUGGGACCAGGGCUGCCCCAUAACUCGGGGCCCAGCCAGUGCCCUAGUGUCCACUUUGUGGUCCAGGCAGGGGCUUGAGCCCCCUAUAAGCAGGGGUGCAGCCUGUCUGGCUGCUGCUUUGCCUGCCCAGCUCUGUUUGCCCAGGGUGCCCGCCUCUGAGCCCAGCUCCAGCACCAGCUGGACCUCUUGUACGUGUCCUUCAGUGGCAGCCGGUGGCGAAGAAAGAAGAGGCAUCAUGUGGAACUGUGAGGCAAGAGUGAUGAAGUAAAGGUCUGAAAUGAAAGAUGCUCCCUGGGAAUGCUUGUUAAAAGAAGAAGUACUUCUGUCUGCAUCUGGUGAAGUCAGCCCCAAAGUAGAUGAAAUACUAAACAGCACUGGCCAGAGAUUAUGCACCCUGAUGCUCAUAGUGUCCCGACUACUAUUGGAAAAUGGUUGUCCAUGUGUUUUUGUUAAUGAAUUGACCAGACGGAGAAAAAAAUACAGAGAAUAUACAGAAAUCCCUACUAAAAAAGUAAUUAACCAUAUGUUUGAACCAGAGCUUCCUCAUUCUCUAAACAUCUUUCUGCUUAACCUAACAGCUGGGGCACAUGUGAGGUACCUUUCCAUCCUGCUGAGAUGCCUCACUGACUUCAGAGAGGGAUCUAAGAUGUGAGAAUGUAAAACCAUACUUCACCUAUUUUAAAAGCCCAUACAUCUCAAAACAGAAGAGGGGACAAAAAAAUCUUUCAUAUGUGUAUUUCAUGACAGUCCAAUCAGAAGUAAAACAGAAAUGUUGUGAAGAGAAAUAGUAGGCCAUGUACCAUCAAAACUGUGGCAUACGUGGUCUGCCUUUGUGCUAUUAUAUAAAACAUGACUGAUUCCAGACAAAAUCUGGGAUCUUUUAAGCAUAUUGUUCUUCAGCCUCACAGAAGGAUAAUCCUGUUGAGUGAAGUAUGGUUAUUUGUUUAUGCCAUUUUAAGCACAAAUGUUGUCUAAUGGAUUGGAAUGCAUGUAUGUCUUCUAAAAUUUGGCUGCAACUGCAUGGGUAAUUUGACUUGCAUAGCAGUGCAUUUUGAAGUGAAUCUCCCAUCUGCUCAAUUUCCUUUUUUUUUUUUUUUUUUUUUUUUUUUUGACUCAUGAAAAGAUUCAAGUAGUCAUGAAGUUCAAAACCAGCACCAGUGGUGUUUCAGGUAAGGUCAAGUAGUGCAAGUAGUGUUUACACAGUAGAUAUAUUCAAACCAGACUAAAUCUUGUCUGAAGAAACUCUUUCUACAACACACUU
rnacentral:lncRNA from 1 species